ACGCUCGACACCUACGGGAGGCAGUAGUAGGGAAUCUUCCACAAUGGGCGGCAAGCCUGAUGGAGCAACACCGCGUGAGUGAAGAAGGGUUUCGGCUCGUAAAGCUCUGUUGUUGGAGAAGAACGUGCGUGAGAGUAACUGUUCACGCAGUGACGGUAUCCAACCAGAAAGUCACGGCUAACUACGUGCCNGCAGCCGCGGUAAUCUGAGCGGGCUGGCAAGGC
rnacentral:rRNA from 1 species